CCUACGGGAGGCUGCAGUGGGGAAUAUUGGACAAUGGGGGCAACCCUGAUCCAGCCAUGCCGCGUGUGUGAAGAAGGCCCUCGGGUUGUAAAGCACUUUCAGUGAGGAAGAACGCCUGGUGGUUAAUACCCAUCAGGAAAGACAUCACUCACAGAAGAAGCACCGGCUAACUCCGUGCCAGCAGCCGCGGUAAUACGGAGGGUGCGAGCGUUAAUCGGAAUUACUGGGCGUAAAGCGCGCGUAGGUGGCUUGAUAAGCCGGUUGUGAAAGCCCCGGGCUCAACCUGGGAACGGCAUCCGGAACUGUCAAGCUAGAGUGCAGGAGAGGAAGGUAGAAUUCCCGGUGUAGCGGUGAAAUGCGUAGAGAUCGGGAGGAAUACCAGUGGCGAAGGCGGCCUACUGGACUGACACUGACACUGAGGUGCGAAAGCGUGGGUAGCAAACAGGAUUAGAUACCCUUGUAGUC
rnacentral:rRNA from 1 species